rnacentral:lncRNA from 1 species
CCCCACACACUGACUCGGUACCGGUUCCCCCUGUAUAUAGCCUCCACAUUGACUCGGUACCGGUUCCCCCUGUAUAUAGCCUCCACAUUGACUCUGUUCCGGUACCCCCUGUAUAUAGCCUCCACACUGACUCUGUACCGGUACCCCCUGUAUAUAGCCUCCACAUUGACUCUGUACCGGUACCCCCUGUAUAUAGCCUCCACAUUGACUCUGUACCGUUACCCCCUGUAUAUAGCCUCCACAUUGACUCUGUACCGGUACCCCCUGUAUAUAGCCUCCACAUUGACUCUGUACCGGUACCCCCUGUAUAUAACCUCCACAUUGACUCUGUACUGGUACCCCCUGUAUAUAGCCUCCACAUUGACUCUGUACCGGUACCCCCUGUAUAUAGCCUCCACAUUGACUCUGUACCGGUACCCCCUGUAUAUAGCCUCCACAUUGACUCUGUACCGGUACCCCCUGUAUAUAACCUCCAAAUUGACUCUGUACUGGUACCCCCUGUAUAUAGCCUCCACAUUGACUCUGUACUGGUACCCCCUGUAUAUAGCCUCCACACUGACUCUGUACUGGUACCCCCUGUAUAUAGCCUCCACACUGACUCUGUACUGGUACCCCCUGUAUAUAGCCUCCACACUGACUCUGUACUGGUACCCCCUGUAUAUAGCCUCCACACUGACUCUGUACUGUAAUACCCUGUAUAUAGCCUCCACAUUGACUCUGUACCGGUACCCCCUGUAUAUAGCCUCCACAUUGACUCUGUACCGGUACCCCCUGUAUAUAGCCUCUACAUUGACUCUGUACCGGUACCCCCUGUAUAUAGCCUCCACAUUGACUCUGUACUGGUACCCCCUGUAUAUAGCCUCCACAUUGACUCUGUACCGGUACCCCCUGUAUAUAGCCUCCACAUUGACUCUGUACCGGUACCCCCUGUAUAUAGUCUCCACACUGACUCUGUACCGGUACCCCCUGUAUAUAGCCUCCACAUUGACUCUGUACCGGUACCCCCUGUAUAUAGCCUCCACAUUGACUCUGUACCGGUACCCCCUGUAUAUAGUCUCCACAUUGACUCUGUACCGGUACCCCCUGUAUAUAGCCUCCACAUUGACUCUGUACCGUUACCCCCUGUAUAUAGCCUCCACAUUGACUCUGUACCGGUACCCCCUGUAUAUAGUCUCCACAUUGACUCUGUACCGGUACCCCCUGUAUAUAGCCUCCACAUUGACUCUGUACCGGUACCCCCUGUAUAUAGCCUCCACAUUGACUCUGUACCGGUACCCCCUGUAUAUAGCCUCAUUAUUGUGUUACUUUUUAUUAUUUUUUACUUUAGUUUAUUUGGUAAAUAUUUUAACUCUUCUUGAACUGCACUGUUGGUUAAGGGCUUGUAAAUAA